rnacentral:lncRNA from 1 species
CGCCGGCUAUGUACGCAUGCCCUCCUGCCCGCUCGACAUGCACGCGUACGUCCGCUCCGACCAGUCGGUGACUACAUCUCGUUGCACCCAUCGAUCUCCUAACCUAGAGCGUGUGUCGUCGCCUUCAGUACCAACGAGGGGCCCGAUGAGGUUUCCCGUGGAUGGCUUCAAUGCCGUGUAUGGGCUGGGAUGACUACUACAUCGAUCUGCCACAUCUAGGUAUGUACUAUAUGGCAUGUACAACCUGAUGUUCAAGGAAAGUUUCUUAGCUUCUAGGUUUCUGCCUCAUGGAGAGUUAAAUUAUUUGAUGAAAAUAGUGUUGCUGUGUUUUUGUAAUGUGAAAUUACCCAUUUCUUUUGGGAAAGGCAACGACACUAUGCUAUAUAAUUAAACCUUAGGGUAGAGUACCUGGUUAAUUUUGUCAAAUUAUUUGGAUCAACUUGCAAUAAAGUAGGUAUACACAUCUCGUAUUGUAAAUAUACCUUUGUACCCUAUAAGGUAAGAUUGAUUGACGGAGUCAAGAGAUGGAGAUCUUGGUUUAGCGACGAAUGCUUGUCCUUUUCUUUCAUGAAAGGUAUGAUCUAGAGUGUGAUUCUAUCUUAUGAUUGGGUGCUUAACAUAGAAUGAGUGGAGCAUACUAGAAAUCUGAAUGCUCACUCAAUGAGGGAGCUCUGUUCAAGAAAAGUGGGAAGCCAACUCUAAUGUCAUAAAAGAGUGUAUAUGGGGAUUAUGAUCAAUCCUAGGAGGUAACCUAAAAUAAAUUGUUGAU